AUCGCUUCUCGGCCUUUUGGCUAAUAUCAAGUGUAGUACCUGUUCUUAUCAGUUUAAUAACCUAAUCUGCUUUGAGAAACUAGAAAAAGAAAAGCAAGCUAAUCCCAA
rnacentral:snRNA from 1 species